rnacentral:tRNA from 1 species
GCCUUCGUGGUGUAGCGGUCAGCACGCUCGACGCGUAACCGAAAGGUCCGUGGUUCGAUUCCCGGCUAAGGCG